GAAAUUAGCACCAAACUGAACUGCACCUGAAGAACCAGCAUGCUGAGACUUCAUCUCACUUUAUUGCUUGUCAGUGUCCCUACAGCUUCACUGUUGGCUGAUGGCGCUAACAUACGACUCGCUAGUGGCGGUAACUCCUGCUCUGGUAGAGUGGAAAUCUAUUAUAAUAACCAGUGGGGAACAGUGUGUGAUGAUAGCUGGGAUCUGAAUGAUGCACAUGUGGUGUGUAGACAGCUUGGAUGUGGUAAAGCUGUCAGUGCUCAUCAAAGUGCCCACUUUGGUCAGGGAAGUGGCCCAAUAUGGCUGGAUGAUGUUCAGUGUUCUGGAAGUGAAAGUGACAUCACACAGUGCCGUCAUUAUGGAUUUGGGAAACAUGACUGUAGCCAUGGUGAAGAUGCUGGUGUUACUUGCUCAGGUACAGAAAACUUUUA